UUUUUAUACUUUAGAAUAAAGCAAAUAUUUGUAGGAAAGUAAUAUUUUUAUAAUCUAGCUAAGACAUGUUAUCUUAGAGAUGUUUAUGUUAUCUGAAAAGCGGUUGAAGUAGCUGCAUGAUCACUGAAAGCAUUUACUGCACUCGUACAAUUAAGAUUAUGUUUAGUGUCCACAAAUCUAUAAAUUAUUUUCUCAAAAAAAAGAUUUACCAACCAAAAGCAGAAUGAUUGACAGUGCUUGAUUGAAGGUCACACUGCUUACAAUAUCAGAUACAGCAAUAACGAAUUUACUCUUCACGAGAAAACACUUGUCUUAGAUGCAUGUUGAGAUAAUUAAGGUUGAGAUAUGGCUGUGGGCAGACAGCAUAAAAAAAGUUUUGGGGAUCGUAAUCAGAAAAGGUUCAGAUUUAGCGAGAACAGGUAGUUUACCGACAGAAAACUUUUUUUAAGUGUGUUGCUAUAUUUCAGUUCAAUUCAGAUUAAUUUAUAUAGCAUUUUUAACAAUAGACAGUAUCACAGAGCAGCUUAACAGAGAUGUCAGUAGACUCUCAAUAGUUUACUAAUUUAAUAGUAACUAGUAAUUAAUAUUCCCUAAUGUAUCCCUAAAGAGCAAGCAAGGGGUGUGAUGGGGGCAAGGAAAAACUCCAUUAGAGGGCAUUUAGGAAGAAAAAUAGUAACCAGAUUGUUGUGACAGUGAUACAACUGAAUGAUAUAGAAAAAAAAAGUCACAUUGUGUUAUCAGGAAUUGUUGUAAUUAAUUGAAUAAAUUUUCAGGAUGAAGUUCUCCACUGCAGGACCAUGAUCAGUUCAUAGCAGUAGGGUUGAGUGCAAAACUGUGAAAUUAAAAGUUUGUGCAAACUGUUCAUCACAACUGAAUUUCCAUGUACUGUCAGGCUUUUCUCAUGUAAUCGGAUUUUAAUCAGUCAAAACUAUUAUAAAUAUUUCAUAACUCAUGAAAUAUGACUUGUGAAAACUUUCACAAAUAAGUAUGAGUUGUUGAAAGGUAGAUGAAGGUGUGAAAGCUUUGUUUUGGUCAGUCAGAGGUCAUCUUGGUCAUUUUUAGGGCCUUUAAAUGCACCUAGAUUGAGACCUUGAGCCACCAUAAAUACUACUGUACUUUAAUCAGUCAUAACUCAUAAAAUAUGACUUGUGAAAACUUCCACAAAUCAGGGUGAGUCCUUAUAGGGUAGAUGAAGGUUUGAAAUUUUUGGUUUGGUCAGUCUGAGGUCAUUUUGGUCAUUUUUAGGGCCUUUAAUCAGUCAUAACUCUUAAAAUAUGACUUGUGAAAGCUGGCACUGUUUUGACGUGAGAAGCUAAUGAAAAUAAAUGGCCAAAAUGCAUUAAAGGCUGUUUUUACGUAAUGUAUUUGUACUUUCUGAAUUCACACACCAGGACUAUCACAAGAAGCCAUAAUUCGUAUUCUUUCGUGCAUAUAUUAGGUUUUUAUGGCCGUUUACAACAUGAAAAACAAACCGCAAACUAACUUUACCGACAUAGACGCGGUUGAGAUCUUUUGUUUAUUUAGAUUAGAUAACUGUACAUUUUUUGUAAUAUCAAUUCCAUGAUAUAUUCUAUAUUUGUUUCACAUUUGUCCCAGUGCACAGAAGGCAGUGGAUGAAUGUAUAUAGUUAUGUUUAAUUCAAAUUUAUUGAAAAGUAGUCAUCUGAGCAAAAACUUAUGCGAUAAGUUGAUGACAUUUGUUUGUUGUAACACCAGUGACUCUAUUAUGCCUGAUUUCCCAUCUCUACUUUUAUUUUUACAGAUGAUGAAUCUGACUAUUAUUCGACUCAAGAAGAGGCAAGAAACAGGUUGCGGAGUCAAGGCAAAGAAUAUGGCCGCCGCUGUUGCAAAUGCAUAAUAGUGUCCUUGGCAGUGCUGUGCGUUACCCUAUUCAUUGCCGUAAUAUACCAGGGUGUCAACUGCAAGAAUUUAACCAAAGAGCAACAAUGCAGCAGUUUGCAGAAGGAUAAGGACUAUGAUGCUCUGUUAAGUAAAUUACCCCUCAUUCAGAAGUACUGUCACACCACUGAAAAAGGCAAGAAUUUAACAGAAGAGCUUUCGACGAUGAAAGUUAAAAUAGUGCAGCUGUUCGUCAGUAAGAAGAAUUAUUUUCAGAAACAAUGCAGCAGUUUGAAAAAAGAUAAGGAUGAAAUACAAAAAAACUAUGAUGCCCUGUUAAAUAAGUUACCCCUCCUUCAGAAGUACUGUCACACCACUGAAAAAGGGCGAGUCUGUGAUCCCUGUCCUCAGGGCUGGGAGAAGCACAAUGGCCAGUGUUACUAUUUCUCUACAAGUGUAAAGACCUGGAAUGAAAGUCAGAAUAACUGCAGUAAGGAGGCGGCUCAUUUGGUGACUGUAAACAGU